GAUUUUGGAAUAGAUUGAAACUUUCGUUUAGAAUGGAAUAAGGAAAACCUAGUUUUAUCAGUGUUUAAAGAUAAGCUGUUAGCGAAAAGACAGUUUGAUAUUUGUUCUAGUUCAUUAUUUGCUACUUGAAAUAAUGAGAUAAUAUUACUGUGAGAAUAGAAUAAAAUGGUGUCGUGUGCAAACAUAAUAGUAGACGUAUUUAGAUCGUUGACAUAGAUUAAGAACAGCAACGGACCUAAGAUGGAGCCUUGUGGAACCCCACAUAAUAUUUUAAGUUUGCUUGUCUGAAAGCCAUAAUUUAGAGAAAUAAAUUGCUUUCGAUCGGUUAAGUAACUGGUAAACCAUUUAUGUUAUUCGUGGCUUAUUCCAUAAUAUUUUAGUAUUUCUAAUAAAAACUGAUGGUUAACGGUGUCAAAUGCUUUUGACAAGUCUAAGAAUAUACCUAAGAUGAACUUGUUAUGAGAAGACGCUCCACUGAUAACUUCAACAAGUUGCGUAAGUGCAUGUUCCGUAAAGUAAUUUGAAAACCAUAUUGGUUAUAAUAAAGAAGAUUGUUAUCAUACAAAAAUGCAAAUAUCCUAUUAUACAAGAUACGUUCCAGGAUUUUUAAAAAUACAGGUAAUACCGAUAUAGGUCGAUAAUUUGUAACCAGACUUUCAUCUCCUGAUUUAAAAAUGGGUGUAAUAAUUGCAAUUUAUCUGGAAAAACACCUGUUUUAUGCAAUUUAUUAAAAAUAUCUAAUAAAACGUCUUUAAUAAGUUCAUAGCAGUCUUUGAUUAUGCUUGCUGAAAUAGAAUCAUAGUCUGUUGUUUUAUUUUUAUUUAAUUUUUUUAUUGAAUCAUCAAGUUCUUUACUAGUGAGUUUUUUAAAUGCUAAGCUUUUAUCCGAUAGCUCAAGAAAUGUGCAGGAGUGUGUUUAAUUUUGCUGGCUAAGUUUGGACUAAUAGUUGCGAAAAGCUCAUUAAAUUUUGUUGCCACCGAUUUUACAUCAGAAAUCUGUGUGCCGUCUACAGUAAUCACGCGUGAUUUGGUUUUAUUCACAUUUGAAGACAGUUUAUUACUUAUAAACCAUUUAUUAACCUUACCCAACUCUUCGUUAGAUGUUUCAAAAUGUGUUUUAAUAUCUCUGUGGGAAUAAAAAAGAUUGGAGUCAUCUGCAAAAAGAAUACAAUUUAAGAAGUCUGUUGCUAAGUUUAAAUCAUUUAUAUAUACUAGUAACAAUAAGGGUACUAAAAUAGAGCCCUGGGGACACCACAAGUUACAGCAUAUGAAAUUGUUUGUUUUUGCUCAUACUGAAUGAAUUGCUUUCUAUUGGUCAAAUAGCUUUUGAACCAAAAAAAAUCCCAGACCAAGUAUAUUUUUAACGGUUGAUACGCAUGCGCUUUAAAUGCACCUCAUUCUGAAUUAUACGAAAAACUGCCAACCAAAAUCUUAUUUUGAACUCUGGAAAAGAACCCUACGAACCUACUGAAACGAGCUUCGUUCUCUGCAAAUUUUUGAAAUACUCUUUAGAUUAAAUUGAGCGAAAAUAAUUCUUCUCUAUAUUUUGAGCGUUUAUUAGGAAUUACAAUCAUAAAUUGUUCAAGAAAUUAAUUUUUCAGACUUUGAUGCUUCUAUGGAUGCUGGAAAAAUUGCUAAUCAUCUAGAACAGUUACAAAAUGGCACUGAAGAAGAUAACGCAAUUCACACCCAGACAGCAACGAUAUAAUGGUCCCGUACUGAUCCUGUAUAGGCUGCCGCGCUUGACCGGCUUUGGCUGCCGAAGCUCCGUUUUGCUUUAAAGAUUUAUCAUGGACCAGCCGUGGCUAGCCAGCGAUGGCAAAACAGCAGCUAGUCAGUGCGGGACAAGAACUGGCAGAACAACGAUUAGCCACCGUAUUUUACCGUACCAUCCGAUUAGAACAACGAUUUAUAAACCGAUUAGAUCAACGAUUUAUAUACCACCGUAUUUUACCGUACCAUCGUGAUUUUGUCUUUGUUAAUUAACUGGGUCGCCCAUGGGAUUGUUAUGAAUUUUUAUGGGGCAAUCCUAUUUGAAUUAUUUGAAAUAUUUUCUUUUUAGACCCCGUCUUCUUAAAUAUUUAAAGUUGUUUUUAGCAUAAUCGACUGUAAUUUUUUGGUUUAAAAUGA